rnacentral:lncRNA from 1 species
GCAUUUGAAUCCUAAUCUCCUAUAAUUUUCACUCACUAAACAUGCCUCUGUUUCUCCAUUUCAUUUAGGCCCACAAUAUCAGGUCUGAAGGUUGGCGUGGCGAAAUUUUAAAAAAAUGAAAGAGGAUGAGGGAACUGUAAAUCCUGAUCAGAGAUGUCAGCUUUGAUGCACUGUGUAUCGCAGGUUACUAUGUCUUCAGUCGAAACAUAAUAUUUCAUGUUUUUUGUAUGGUAUGAGAAUCUAAGUGACUGCUGAGCUGAGGCAAACAUCAUCACGGUCUGUUCCCUUUUAGAUAUGGGGUGCAGGUUUUAUCAUACGAACAAAACAUGAAGCAGAACGUUGUGUUGGGAGGAUGUCUACUGCAAAUAGUGAUGUUUCUUUGGUUCUCUCUUUCACUGUGAUUUUCGUGACCACCUCCUUUUUUUUAAAACACUGUUUUAGUUCAGGUCAAAAACAGCCAGUCAAGGCUACUUCUUUCUCACCAGACCACCUCCCUUUUUUUUUAACACUGUUUGAGUUCAGGUCAAAAAGAGCCAGUCAAGCUACUUCUUUCUCACCAUACCCCACAAGAAAGUGAAAUAACACACCUUAUGUCUCCCUUAGAUUCCUUUCUUUAUUUCAAAACAUUUACCUUUCUCUCCCCACACCCUCCUCAAGCCUUUUCCCUAUUGUUUUGACACUCUACGUAGGGCUGCUCAC